UACGUAGGUGGCAAGCGUUAUCCGGAAUCAUUGGGCGUAAAGGGUGCGUAGGUGGCGUACUAAGUCUGUAGUAAAAGGCAAUGGCUCAACCAUUGUAAGCUAUGGAAACUGGUAUGCUGGAGUGCAGAAGAGGGCGAUGGAAUUCCAUGUGUAGCGGUAAAAUGCGUAGAUAUAUGGAGGAACACCAGUGGCGAAGGCGGUCGCCUGGUCUGUAACUGACACUGAGGCACGAAAGCGUGGGGAGCAAAUAGG
rnacentral:rRNA from 2 species